AGCAGACCGAAAUAGCAACACCAAACCUCAAGCAAUCUAUAUCUGGGCCCUUCGGACUUCCCUGGAAAUGUGGUCGGGUUGCCACAUUAUGCAGACACGCUCCCGGCCACGCUCUCCGGCGGUUUGUUGAUUCAGCCACUCCUCCGAUUUCAUUUGCCAGGGGAAUUCAUCUUUCAUUAUGCCUAGAGGCAUGGCCUGUGGGGGUUUGUUUUGUUGGGUUUUUUUAUUAAUUGCUCUAUUUUUCUUCUGCACAGUAGGAGAUGAGAAUGAAUCACCCGCGGGAUCUGGGGUAGCCGUGCAUCAGAAGCAGGACCGUAACAAGAUUUUAUUCUCCCAUCGCCGUGCUAAGACCUCCUGGCAUCUGGGAGGAAGAGGAGACCUGUAUACGCCAGGCUCCUGCUCUGGGAAGCAGGAAGGCGGCUACGGACCGUCCUGACGUGCUGAAGCUCCCGUUACCUUGCGGUUAGGAGCGAUGGAUCCCUGCCAGCUCUUCAUGCAGAACUCGCUGUCUUCACACCGCAGGGAUUUACAACGUCUUUACGGGCUGGGAUUCGUUCUGACCACCUAAAUGUAGGUAAGAUCUACAUGCGACCUAAAUAUAUGCGUCGGAAUCCCACCCUGGUACCGCUCUGUGCGCUGCCAGCUGUACUCACGGGUUGCUUUGCAACCAGAGAUGCACGAGGAUGCAACAGAUUUCAUCCCCUCCAUCCAUAUUUUAUCUGCAAUAAAGCACGCAGACCACGUUCAUCGCUGCGUUUAAUAGUCUGUCUACUGCAGAGAGAGAAAAACAACCUGUCUCAGAGGUGAAAUCUCUGGGCACACCAAAGGCUUUCUCUGUUCUCUCCUCCUCCUGCUGCCCCCGCUCAUGCCAGCUGCAAUGAGAAUGAAAAAUCUCCAGAAAAAGCAGGGGAAGGGGUGGAUUUGAGGGGUAUGUGAAGGGAAACGGGUGCUGCUGAGUGUGCAGAGGCAGGGAGGCUAUUCCGGCUGCGGAGAGCAGCUCUGGAGCUAGCAGGACAGGCCGGAAGACUUAAAAAAGAGAAAGAAAUAAGAAAGAAGAAAAGGAAAAAGAAAAGAAAAAAGAAGAAAAAAGGAAAAAGAAA